rnacentral:rRNA from 1 species
UACGAAGGGGGCUAGCGUUGCUCGGAAUUACUGGGCGUAAAGGGCGCGUAGGCGGAUACUUAAGUUAGAGGUGAAAGCCCAGGGCUCAACCCUGGAAUAGCCUUUAAUACUGGGUAUCUUGAGUUCGGGAGAGGUGAGUGGAACUCCGAGUGUAGAGGUGAAAUUCGUAGAUAUUCGGAAGAACACCAGUGGCGAAGGCGACUCACUGGCCCGAUACUGACGCUGAGGCGCGAAAAGCGUGGGGAGCAAACAGGGAUUAAGAUACCCUUGU